rnacentral:misc_RNA from 1 species
CGCACAUUGCGCCCGCCAGUAUUCUGGCGGGCAUGCCUGUUCGAGCGUCAUUUCAACCCUCAAGCCCAGCUUGGUAUUGGACCCGGCCCUGGGGCCCGUCCGCAACCAGUCGGCGGUGCUGUAUAGCCUCAAGCGUAGCAAGAACCUCGCUUUGGGAGCCUGUGGCGGCGCCUGCCAGAGGAACCACUAAAUUUUUCAAGUUUGACCUCGGAUCAGGUAGGGAUACCCGCUGAACUUAA